CCUCCUGCCUCAGCCUCCUCCCGAGUAGCUGGGACCACAGGUACUAACCAGGCCUGACCCUACUUAGCUUCCAAGAUCAGAGGAGACCGGGCACGUUCAAGAUGACUUGGAACUGAAGAAGCUGGCAAUCUGGAAAUGCCAAUGGACGCAGAUUUUAAAAGCCCCAGCAAAAGUCUGCUUUCUCUAUUCAUAGGACCAGGAUCAGGAAGAGGACAGCUUAGAAAGACAUAAAAUUCUUAGACAAUAACUGUUCUACCCCAGCCAAACACCAAACACACACACACACACACACACACACACACUCCAACAACUAUGGCCCCACCCACUUCAGCAAAGGCUGAGUAGGAGCCUAAACUUCCACCACUGAGCGGCUAUAAGAAGUUACCCCAAGACCCCACCAACGUGGUGUUAAAGAAGGCCAAAUAGGGGACAAAAUUUUUAUCCAUGCUGACCAGUUAUGAGGUUCCCUUUUUCCCUCUGUGAAAUAAAAAUAAAGCCCGUAGGUCCCCAGGCAAGAUGAAAUGGACUCCUUGUUGCAAAAGAGACCCCAGAAAACUUUAAAAGCUGGAUUCUAUGGCUUUGGCAAGGUAAGAGUUCGGUCACACCUCAAAACUCCCCUACCUCAUUAACUGCUUCAAGACUUUCUUUCCUACAGUUAAACGCCUGGGACUACAGUCAUGUGCCACCAUCCUAGGCUAAUUUUUUUUUAAAGGUUUUUGUAGAGAUGAGGUCUCA
rnacentral:lncRNA from 1 species